rnacentral:rRNA from 1 species
UAGGGAAUCUUCGGCAAUGGACGAAAGUCUGACCGAGCAACGCCGCGCGAGUGAAGAAGGUUUUCGGAUCGUAAAACUCUGUUGUUAGAGAAGAACAAGGACGUUAGUAACUGAACGUCCCCUGACGGUAUCUAACCAGAAAGCCACGGCUAACUACGUGCCAGCAGCCGCGGUAAUACGUAGGUGGCAAGCGUUGUCCGGAUUUAUUGGGCGUAAAGCGAGCGCAGGCGGUUUCUUAAGUCUGAUGUGAAAGCCCCCGGCUCAACCGGGGAGGGUCAUUGGAAACUGGGAGACUUGGGUGCAGAAGAGGAGAGUGGAAUUCCAUGUGUAGCGGUGAAAUGCGUAGAUAUAUGGAGGAACACCAGUGGCGAAGGCGGCUCUCUGGUCUGUAACUGACGCUGAGGCUCGAGAGCGUGGGGAGCAAACAGG